ACAGACAGCACCUACUGACUGUCUGAAUCCUUCCCAUGGACUUAAGUAGGUGAUUAUCUCCAUUUCAGAUCUUGGCACAAGGUUAACAUGAUGCUAAUUGGCAGUGGUGAGAAAGAGGUACUCUGAGGGCAUAUGUCAAAUUUUAGUGUCAGGGAACUAACAAACAACUCAGGUAGAAAAGGUACGGUAAAGCUUAAUAGAGUGCAUAACAAAUGAACAGAGGUUUUCAAUGUCAUAAUUUAGGAUAUAAUGUUGUUUAAAUCUCCUGUUAUGUUUGUUCUUGAACUUGGUCUCUUGCUUUUAGUGACCUUUAGUCUUCAUAUAAAUUAGUUACAAGAUACAAAUAACAAAGGGGGUUUCCAUUAAGAAUUUGGCCCAUAAAGGAAAGCAGGUUGAUGUAGAAAACAAGUGAGAAGAGCAUGAGGCUGGGGUGAGACAAAGGCAUUGAGUAUCUCUAUUGCUGUAGCUUCUAAGGCUGCAGUAAGACUGAUAAAUAAAAUAAAGCCAAGGCUUAUUUUUCAUAGUGCUUGGGUUUUAGUAGGGUCCUUGCUACACCUUUGGCCUGUCUGACUUUCUCCCAGAAACUAUCCAAGCAUGCUUUGGAGUAGUGUAUGCCAGAGACUGUUCUUACCUUUUGGUGAGAGUGGAAUAAAACACAAGUAUGGGUGGAUGUGACCUCAGCCACAGCACCGACUGUUGGAACCAGAGCAUGGUCAAUAGCCUGGUUUAUCUAUUCUAGCAAGUGUAGGUGUAGACAUAGAUACAGCCUUAGAGGAUCCCUCCUUACGACCAAUUCCUGUUCUUUGUAGGAUAGCAAAGAUCCCUGGUGAUUUCAGCGUGCCUACCAGAACAGCUCAUGGGUUUGUGCACCAGAAGAGCUGGUGCCCUAAGCCUUUUCCAGGUUUACACGCGAACCUUCAGCCAGUCAUUCGUCAGCUCUGUGCCUCUUCCCAUCUGUAUAAUGAUAGUGGCCUCCUAUAGAAAAACAUUUGGUCAUGAGAGGACGGCCAAAUCCUGCCAGGGUAUGUCCACGCCACAUUUCGGAAAUGGGAUGACUGCAUGCCUAGGCCUACUCAAAGCUGGUUUUAUACUCAGAGGCACCAGUGUCUGAAGUGAACUGAAGAAAAAUCAGUUACUUGCAGAACUUUGCUGAGUUUGGAGUCUGCUGGCAGCAAUCCUCGCGAAGGCAGACACAACUGUGGGGUUACCGAGUGUGGGGUUACCAAAACCAACCUGUGCUUGCGAUCCAGUCAUUAUAUCCAGGAUUCAAACCAGCUUCCCUACAGAAGAAACCACACAGAUUUUCUAUGUCUUUUUGUUUCUGAGGUGAGCUGGGAAUUUUGACCUUGGAGGCACUUUAAAGAAUGAGCAAUAUUGCCCAUGAUCUCCUUAUGCACUUUGCAGCUUGGGGGCAUGAUCAUCACCGUGACCUUGCUGCCCCAGCCAGCGCCCAGGAGAGCAAGGCAUUUGCAGGUGUCUGUAAAGUGGGCUUCUUGCUAUGCUGAUGUUUCAGGAUGGCAGAUUUCCAUCCCAGUGAGAGGAUAAGAUAAGCCUAAAAUGUAUUUUCUGUACUGGAUGGAAAAAUUCUUGCUCCUAAAGACCUUACAGACUGUGAAAACUGCUGCAAAGGCAGUACAAUGUCACCACCAAACCCAGGAGCCCAAGCACUGAGUGCAGCACUGCAAAUAAAGGAUUUUUCUAGUCUCUAGCUGAACUGAAAAAUGGUCAUGAAAUAGCAGGGUGAUACUCGGUUUCCUUCCUUCCAAACAACAGCAACAACAACAACAACAAAAAGAAAAGAAAACAAAAAAAGAAAGAAUAAUAAUAUUAAAAUCAGAUAAGACUAAACUUUUCUAGAGUUCUUGUCUAAAACACAUAGAUCCAUAAGCAAAUUUUCUGUGAACUUGUAUCCUGUGAUUGAAACAGUGUUUGGAGCUUCAUCUGCAACUGCAUUCUGCUCUGUAUGCUUUGGAAUCUAAUAAAGGCUGAGUUCAUGUUGAAAUUAAAUUCAGAAUUUAAAGACUAUUUCUAUUCUCUACUCAGCUGCCUGUUUUCACAGAAAAAUGAAAAAUUACAGUAACUUAGUUAUCUUUGAGACCUCUGUCAAAUUCAGCUGAAAUCAGGCAAUGACUUGAAAUAUUAUUAGGAGGGAAUGUAUACAGACACUCACACAGCUGCAUCUACAUUCAUGUAGAUACAGAAAGAUAAACCAAAUCAACUGUGUUUCCACGUGGAGAAGGAGUAUAAGUAUAAUUUGAUAAAUAUGAAAAUGCAUCACUUUAUACAUAAAAGCAAGAAAGAAAACAAAAUAUUUUCUUUAAAAUCAUUAACAUCAAUAUUUAAACCUAUUCCCUGUUUUCCUUAGCACAUUUGCAAGUUCCUUUCAAAAUCAUGAGUUGCUUCAGUCAGAUUAGGCAUACAUUUUCUGUUUGAAAAUAUUUUGCAGUAAAAUUGCACUCAUCAGCAGGGCAGAAUAAUUUCACUUGUUUUUCUCCUCAGAUAUGUGGUAGACCUCUUAAUUCAUCUAAGAAAGUUGGGCUGUUGAAGCCAACUGCCAACACCGUUAGGUCUCUGCCCUUACACAAGAAAUCAGUGGACCAAGAGUUCCCAGACAUAAAAAUACCUCUGGAAAAUAUAUUCAUUGCCUUCAAAAUGGAGAUAAAGCUACUAAUUAUUUUACAGUAAAAGUUGUUAUUUACCUUUCUGUGUAUUGCUGGUUGCUUUUGUUUAUCUCUUGUUGCUUUUACCCUUUUUUUGGUUGCUGC